rnacentral:misc_RNA from 1 species
AAAACCAUUAAUUUUUAAGGUUUCCACAACAUUUCUUAACAGGCAGCAGAAAAAAAUUGCAUCAUUGGAGUCCACCUUUAGCUGAGAACAAUGCAUAGAAGAGGUGGACAGUUCGGUUCAAGAAAAUGGUAAGCUGAUCAAUAAUAGGUUAAACUAUAUUUUAGUCCUUGAGGUUUGCCCGCUCUUACAAACCAAGAAAAUAUUUUUCAAAAAUUACCAUUCUAUAUAAUUUUUAUUGCAAUGACAACAUUGAUAUCUCUAGUUUAGCAAUUAAUAUUAGCCAAAUAUGAUAUGGAUAGUAGUAGAUGUUUUAAAAAAUAUUUACAAAUUGCAAACUGAACAAUAAAAUUUUACAA